rnacentral:lncRNA from 1 species
UUUCGUCUUAGCCACGCAGAAGUCGCGUGUCUAGGUGAGUCGCGGUGGGUCCUCGCUUGCAGUUCAGCGACCACGAACACAGAUAUGUAGAACUCUUCUUGAAUUCUACAGCAGGAGCAAGCGGUGGUGCUUACGAACACAGAUAUGUAGAACUCUUCUUGAAUUCUACAGCAGGAGCAAGCGGUGGUGCUUAUGGUAGCCAAAUGAUGGGAGGCAUGGGCUUGUGUAAAUAUCGUUAGUUUUUUUAAAAACCAAAACGUUUAUAUCUGUAUAAGUCAAUUAUAAGUUAAGUUAAUCUAUUUAUUUAAUAAGUUUAGCAUAAGAAACUUAGGCAAAGCAGUUUCUUGAUAUUUGAGUUUUGUAUCUGGCUUACUUAAAUCCUUGUGAGUUAUGAAGUUCCUUAGGAUAGAUAAUUCAAAUUAGGUUUAAGUAGUCUUGGGGGAGGGGACUACGGAGUGAAACUACUUAAAUUUUCUAAGUAUAAAGUUUAAAUCAAUAGCAAAACAGGAUUAAGAUAAAUGUGGGCAUAAUUAGGUGUAUUGACAUGCCUUUGAUGUAUCAAACUGAGGGGGAACCCACUAAAUCCAGUCAAGCAGUUUCAUAAGAUCUUCACAAAAUGCCUCUACUUACGGAAUCAUGUUGAUUUUAGUCCUGCUGAUGUGUGUACCGUUAGCACUUUGGUUUAUCAAUAUUUGACUGGCUCAAAUGAUGGAUAGAAGGGUGGCCUGGUUAUAGACAGUAGGCAGAAGGAGGCAGAGGGUUACAGUAAUGUAAGAUCAAGACUGGAAAAUGAUAGCUAUAGAAUUACAAGCCCGGUACCACCAGGUACCACAUCACAUAAGAAAAAAGGUUCUAAUGUUUUCUUAACUUAACAGCAAACCAGUCCAGCUACGGGGGCCCAGCCAGCCAGCAGCUGAGUGGGGGUUACGGAGGCGGCUACGGUGGCCAGAGCAGCAUGAGUGGAUACGACCAAGUUUUACAGGAAAACUCCAGUGAUUUUCAAUCAAACAUUGCAUAGGUAACCAAGGAGCAGUGAACAGCAGCUACUACAGUAGUGGAAGCCGUGCAUCUAUGGGCGUGAACGGAAUGGGAGGGUUGUCUAGCAUGUCCAGUAUGAGUGGUGGAUGGGGAAUGUAAUUGAUCGAUCCUGAUCACUGACUCUUGGUCAACCUUUUUUUUUUUUUUUUUUUUUUCUUUAAGAAAACUUCAGUUUAACAGUUUCUGCAAUACAAGCUUGUGAUUUAUGCUUACUCUAAGUGGAAAUCAGGAUUGUUAUGAAGACUUAAGGCCCAGUAUUUUUGAAUACAAUACUCAUCUAGGAUGUAACAGUGAAGCUGAGUAAACUAUAACUGUUAAACUUAAGUUCCAGCUUUUCUCAAGUUAGUUAUAGGAUGUACUUAAGCAGUAAGCGUAUUUAGGUAAAAGCAGUUGAAUUAUGUUAAAUGUUGCCCUUUGCCACGUUAAAUUGAACACUGUUUUGGAUGCAUGUUGAAAGACAUGCUUUUAUUUUUUUGUAAAACAAUAUAGGAGCUGUGUCUACUAUUAAAAGUGAAACAUUUUGGCAUGUUUGUUAAUUCUAGUUUCAUUUAAUAACCUGUAAGGCACGUAAGUUUAAGCUUUUUUUUUUUUUAAGUUAAUGGGAAAAAUUUGAGACGCAAUACCAAUACUUAGGAUUUUGGUCUUGGUGUUUGUAUGAAAUUCUGAGGCCUUGAUUUAAAUCUUUCAUUGUAUUGUGAUUUCCUUUUAGGUAUAUUGCGCUAAGUGAAACUUGUCAAAUAAAUCCUCCUUUUAAAAACUGC